AAUCAUGCCUUGGUUAAUAGCACCCCAACUUGGGAUUGAUCCAAGGUUAUAAUUAUUUUCAUUAACCUUCAUGUGCUUCAUAUAGUCACCAAGGUAUAGCACUACCAAACAGUAUUUGUCCUCAGCUGUAUGUUGUACCAAUACCAACCCUCCCCCACACCCUCUUCCACCUCUCUGCAUUGAACUUGGGUUACCAGCCUUGACCUACCUUUCCCUCAUGGUGAAAACCUGCAGAUGUGCUGUACAGAUGUGGGCUGCUGUUGUACUCAUCAUUCCAAGUAGAUUUGUCUUCUGUCUGUUUGCAAAAUGCUGUGGCUCUGCUCUCUAAGCUAGGUAGAAGUGAGCACCCUCUCUCAGGAUACUGUAUUAUGGGUCUGCGGGAGAAUUAGAGAGAUGUUUUAUGCUGCUGCCUAUGAUAUGAGUUUAUUUCCUGGUUGAGGUCUGUGCUAGAGCAGGUUCUCACUCAGAAAGGCAGAGACAGGAAGACUGUAGGGCACUUCCUCUAUGAACCCACUAAACAGCAACUCUGGGUUCUCCAGUUCCAGGUGCAUUUCUGUUCAGAUAUCUCAUGCACUAUGUCAUAUGGUUUUGCAAACUUAUCUUCAUUCUAUUUCACAAUUUAGGCACUCCGUUCCAAUUCUGGGAAGUGAAGAAGGGUCACUUACUCAAUUGACUUCAGGGUCUAGGCAGUAACCAGGUUCUUGGGUUCUCUUUCAACACAUACAAUCUUUUGACAAACAUAUAAAGUUUACAUGUUGAACGUGCAGGAAUAUUCCUCAAGUCCGUGAAGAAAUUUGUGCACUCCUGUUUUACUUGAAAUAUAAUUUUCAGUUUAUCUUUUGCUGUCUUACUCUUUUUGCUUGUUUUUUUUUUUUUUUUUUUUUUUUGAGACAAAGUCUCACUCUGUUGCUCAGGCUGGAGUGCAGUGGCACGAUUGCGGCUCACUGCAACCUCCGCCUCCCGAGUUCAAGUGAUUUCCCUGCCUCAGCCUCCCAAAUAGCUGAGAUUGCAAGCAUGCACCACCACUCCUGGCUAAUUUUUAUAUUUUUAAUAGAGACAGGGGUUCGCCAUGUUGCCUAGGCUGGUCUCGAACUCCUGACCUCAAGUGAUCUGCCUGCCUGGGUCUCCACGCUGGGAUUACAGGCAUGAGUCAUCGUGCCUGGCCUGAUAUCUUUCCCGUGAUAAAGACAUGGGCCCAGAUAAAUAUUUCUUUACUUUGAGAUAAAUAACAUAGCAAGUACAAAGAUCAGUAAAUGAAAACUGGCCCCAAGAUCAGUAAAUGAAAACUCAGCCCCAAAGUCAGGUCAAUGGUAGGGAACGGUGGAAACUGUGGCAUCUUAGGGUAGUCACUAGCCAGUUCCAGCUGCUCACUGUCAUACGAAGAAGGAUCCAUGCCACACGAGAGUCUAGUCUUGUCACAUAUUCUCAUUAAAGUGAAGUGACUCUGAUUUUUUUGGUGUGAAAUCUCCCUAUUUUUACAUUUUGGCUCAAAGUUUGUAAAAAUACUGUGGAGUCCAAAUAAAACAUGUCUGCAGACCAGAGCUAGGCUUCAGACUACCAGUUUAGAACCUGCCAUGGGAAACGAUAAUAUCUGGGAAGCACAGAGGUACCCCGGUGUUUUAAAGUGAGCAGUAGGCUGUUGAAUUCACUUUACUAUUGUUGUAUUAGAGAAGAGUCAGAACAUUUCAACAUCUUGAGCACCAAGAAUCAUCUGAGUGACUUUUUCUUAAGGAAUAAAUCACACAUUAUGAAAAACAAUGCAUGCAACUUUCAUCAUCCCCUAGCUGUCGCGAACUAUAGACAGAAAAGAACUUCAUUCUCUCCUAUUUUUCCAGGGAGAAAAAGAUUCACAGAACAUUGUUUUCCUUGGUUCAAAUUUGAAGUUCUAACUUGAAGUAGCUAGGUGCUGGAGAGAGGUUAAGAGGCUGGAUUGUGUGUUCAUUGGUGCUUUAUCCCCCUGUAGCUGGGAGAGAGAGGACAAGAAGUAGUACGGUGUCAACAUGGUGAAAGAAAAUGAGAAGAUGCAAAACCGAAUGAGGUAUUCAAUUAUACUAAUGUUGGCAAAUAUCUCUGAGGCUGGUAUCAUGUAGACAAAACAUCUGGAUAAGUCACUGAAACUGUCAGACCUUAGACAAUAGCUGGUACAUGAAUGCCGUGAGAGUAGCGUUUCCACUUAUAGAUGGAAUGCCUUUCUUCUUCUUUCUUAAUUCUUUCAAUUGACAAAAGAACACAGCAUCACUUGAGUUAGUACUCCUGCAUGAUAAAUAGGACACCCAUGGAGGUUGUUCUAUCCCUUUUAUAACCUCAAGGUGCCAGACCAUUUUCACUAGUUCCCUGAAUUACGUAAAAAACUUAGAGCCCAUGUGUAACCCUCACGCUGUCUAAUUUUAACUGAAUAGGUUACACAACACUGAGAAAGCUGGCACCUUGUGUGCUAUGGCACUAAUCAUUAGCAAUGUUUGGCCGGAUGCAGUGGCUCAUGCCUGUAAUCCCAGCAUUUUGGGAGGCCAAGGCGGGCAGAUCACUUGAUGUCAGGAGUUCAAGACCAGCCUGGCCAAAAUGGUGAAACCCCGCCUCUACUAAAAAUACAAAAAUUUUCUGGGCAUUGUGGCACACCCCUGUAAUUCCAGCCACUCGGGGGGCUGGGGCAGGAAAAUCACUUGAACCGGGGAGGCGGAGGUUGCAGCAAGCCACUGCACUCCAGCCUCAGCAACAAGACUCUAUCUCAAAAAUAAUAAUAAUUAGUAAUGUUCAAGGUCACAAAACAAAUGCAUAGAAAGGAAACAUUGAUUAAAUAAUGAAGAGAGAAAUGAAUAUAAGUACAGCCUGCGUUUAACUUCUCAGGCAGAAAAAAACAAUUUUGUUGUUUUUAAAUGCAUAAAUAUAAUGCUAAUGGGUACAGCAAACUUAGCAAACAAAACUAAACAUGUCAUUUGACCAUGGAUCUAGGCCUUAAUGAAUAGGCAUGAUUUUUAAUUAGUCUAUCAAUUAUCUGUAGAUAAAUGAGUAUUGGACGUUACUUGUAUUCUUUAAGUCUCCCAAAUUUGUAUUCUUGGACUCAUCUUUGUGUCAUCUCCAUCUCCAAAAAUGUCAGAAUACCAAGCCCUGCUAAUUGUUACCUUGAUCUUCCUUGCCAAUCUACUCUUCCCUCCUCAGCCUCUCAGCUAACACCCUAGCCCAGUGCUUCUCAUAUUUUAAUUAUAUUGACAAAUCUCCUGGGGAUUUUGCUAAAAUAUAUAUUCUGGUGCCAAUCCUGUUGGUCCAGGGACGACAGUUUGAGUAGCAAGGCCCCAGCCUAGUUUUUCAAGAACAAUCUCCUCCCCACCCUGCUCUCAAUUCUAACCUCCCUUCUGGCCCUUCAGGUGAGUUCCAGCCCUUCUUGUAUCCCACUGGUUACAAGAUAAAUGUUUUCUUUCUUCUUUUUUUUUUUUUUUGUUUUUGAGACGAGGUCUCUGUCACUAGGCUGGAGUGCAGUGCUGCGAUCUCGGCUCACCGCAACCUCCGCCUCCUGGGUUCAAGCGAUUCUCCUUCCUCGGCCCCCCAAGUAGAUGGGACUACAGGUGUGCGCCACCCAGUUAAUCUUUGUAUUUUUAGUAUUUUUGUAUUUUUAAUAAUUUUUAGUUAAUUUUUGUACUUUUAGUAUUUUUGUAUUUUUAAUAAUUUUUAGUUAAUUUUUGUACUUUUAGUAUUUUUGUAUUUUUAAUAAUUUUUAGUUAAUUUUUGUACUUUUAGUAUUUUUGUAUUUUUAAUAAUUUUUAGUUAACUUUUGUAUUUUUAGUAUUUUUGUAUUUUUAAUAAUUUUUAGUUAACUUUUGUAUUUUUAGUAUUUUUGUAUUUUUAAUAAUUUUUAGUUAACUUUUGUAUUUUUAGUAUUUUUGUAUUUUUAAUAAUUUUUAGUUAAUUUUUGUAUUUUUAGUAUUUUUGUAUUUUUAAUAAUUUUUAGUUAAUUUUUGUAUUUUUAGUAAUUUUUUGUAUUUUAGUAGAGACAGGGUUUCACCAUGUUGGCCAGGAUGGUCUCGAUCUCCUGACCUUGUGAUCCACCCGCUUUGGCCUCCCAAAGUGCUGGGAUCACAGGUGUGAGCCACCAUGCCUGGCCACAAGAUAAAUGUUUUCUAAGUACUCUUCUGAUUGUUUUAGAAUGGAUCCAUGUCCACUUAGAGGCACACAGGCUCAAGGCACUCCAAGGGUUUAGUAGGGAAGCAUUGACUAGUUGACUCUGCUGGAAAAGGUCUACCAAAAAAGCAAACCUGGCAAACCUUCUCCCAAAUUCCCCAUUCUCUGUGCAGUCUUUUUUUAGUCAUGAUCUGUGCUGCCAAUAUGAUACCAGUCCCAAGGGAUUCUCUCUCUGCUGCCACUUUAAAACCCUCAUCUGGAAAUGGUCAAAAGCCCCUUUUCUUGGUUAUACUUAGCACAGAAAGGAGGGGAAAAAGAGAGAGUAGUGAUAGAAAUUCUUAAAGACAUUAUGGGAAUCAGAGCCAAGUAUCUGAUCUGAAGGCAAUACACUCCAACCCCAAAGCCUAGUAUCAUUUUCUUUUUUUUUUUUUGUAGUUUAUGUAAAAAUUUAUUUGACCAAAAUGUAGAAAAAGUGAUACUAUUACAUAUGAUACAGUUGCAAGAAUCUAAAGUAAAGUGUGGAUUUUAUUCCAUUGCACAAUUUGCUAGUGUAUUUCCUGGGUAGUGUGGUGCUGAAUAAAUAGGAGUGGGGUGGUGAGGUGGGGUGGGUAAGGGAUUCAGAUAAGCCAGAAGCAGGGUGAUUUUUAGUCGGAAUUGCAAACUUUAGUCGGCCCCCACACGCUGCUGGGGAAUGUGGAAUGUUCCAGCUCUGAGAUGUUAACUGAGAAAAGAGAAGUCAAACAAAGCCGAUACGUGCAGCCCUGUCUACAGAAUCCUUCAUUACCCAGUUUAAUCAGGAGUUUCUUGGUCUUUUAUUAACUUGGUCCCAAAGAAGGAAUUCAAGUCCUAGAUAAGUAAAUCUUCAAUUUGCUAUUCCCUGAAGUAUGGAAAUGAAGUCGGGCCAAUUUUUAAUCUCUGCUGCCAGAGAGGCCCUUUCUGCUAAUAGAUAAAAACUCUUUUGCUCAACUUAGUAAUGACUUGUAGUCUUUUGGAUAUGGCUGAUCUGAAUUGGACUGAACUCCACCAUAUUCCUGGUGAGUGGGUCAUUACUGGAAUGAGACAUUUGCUCUUCAGAGAACAACUUUAUUUUAAUUUUCCUUGAGAUUGAGUCUCACUCUGUCGACCAGGCUGGAGUGCAGUGGUGCGAUCUCCGCUCACUGCAAUCUCCACUUCCUGGGUUCAAGCGAUCCUCCUGCCUCAGCCUCCCGAGUAGCUGGGACUACAGGCAGGCGUCACCAUAAUUUUUGUAUUUUUAGUAGAGGCAUGGUUUCGCCAUGUUGGCUGGGCUGGUCUCGAACUCCUGACCUCAAGUGAUCUGUCCUGUUGGCUGGGCUGGUCUGGAACUCCUGACCUCAAGUGAUCUGUCCUGUCCUCCCAAAGUGUUGGGAUUACAGGCAAAAGCCACUGUGCCCGGCCAGAGAACAACUUUAGAAUGAAGGAAAUAUGCAAAAGGACAUCACAUCAAGGAUCUAUUAAUUACCAUCUAU
rnacentral:lncRNA from 1 species